rnacentral:rRNA from 1 species
CCUACGGGAGGCAGCAGUGAGGAAUAUUGGUCAAUGGACGAGAGUCUGAACCAGCCAAGUAGCGUGAAGGAUGACUGCCCUCUGGGUUGUAAACUUCUUUUAUAUGGGAAUAAAAUGUUCAACGUGUGGGAUUUCGUAUGGACGAUAUGAAUAAGGAUCGGCUAACUCAGUGCCAGCAGCCGCGGGAAUACGGAGGAUCCGAGCGUUAUCCGGAUUUAUUGGGUUUAACGGGAGCGUAGGUGGAUUGUUAAGUCAGUUGUGAAAGUUUGCGGCUCAAACGUAAGAUUGCAGUUGAAACUGGCAGUCUUGAGUACAGUAGAGGUGGGCGGAAUUCGUGGUGUAGCGGUGAAAUGCGUAGAUAUCACGAAGAACUCCGAUUGCGAAGGCAGCUCACUGGACUGCAACUGACACUGAGGCUCGAAAGUGUGGGUAUCAAACAGGAUUAGAUACCCCUGUAGUC